AUCGUUUCCACUGCGUCGUCGCCUUCUCUGCCCACUCUAAAGGGAAUGAAAUAAAUCCUCGGAGCCGAAAGUUAAGGAUUUCCUGUAAAGGAGAAACCUUGCGGCCAACUGAGGCGAUAUCUUGGGGGAAUCUUCUUCCUCUCUGAGCUAGGGUUUCGACGUGAGGGGGCAGUUCCCUUCUAUCGCCCCUUCUCUUUUGUUGAUUUGACAAAGAGGGAUCAUUUUGCUUAUUUCCCCUCUUCAAGCUGUAGAGAUGGAUUAGCUGAGGCGGCCAGUAAAUCGAUUUUUCGGCGAUUUGAGGGGGUAGAGAUCGUUUUAGCUAAAAAAAGGUCGUUUUUUAGCUGGAAAAAAAUGGUUCGGAGACCUGAACUGAGGGGUCCCGGUGGAGUUUGGAUCGUUCGCGCCGAGAGAGCUGUGGAUGCAGCAUUACAGCACCUCGGAUUUGCCUUUUCUGGGAUCUGAAAGGAAAUUGGUUCAGUUUGGAUCUCCGAGCAAGCUCACAUGGAUGAUUUCACGCCCACGAAUUAUGGGGCGAGCGGGAGUCCGAGUCAAGACGAUCCAUUUUCCCUGGCGGAGCUCAUGAAUUUUGAUGGUUUUGCUGAAUCCUGCAGUCCUACGAUGGUAGACCAGAUUUCUAAUUUAAGCUUUAUAGCUGCUUAUCAAAUACCUGGUUUUUCAUCUUCAUUGGCACCACUGAGUGUUUCAGCAGAAGGUACGGAUUCCGUUCCUGGAGAUAAUAGGGUCUCAACUGGUAAUUAUUAUAACUGCAUGGAAAAGACGGCUUUGCAAAGAGCUGGUUCACAAAUGGGGCUUCCGUCGACUUCCUCCGGAACUAAUAUUACUAGUAGGAGUGCUAGUUAUUCCGCCUUUGAUGGCCUGUCUGAUGAUGCGAUCUUGACUAUUCCUAGACCUUUUGAAGGGGUGUCUCUUCCAGAAAGAAUGCUCAAGGCACUGUCCUUGCUAAAGGAAUCGUCAUGUAGUGGAAUACUUUGCCAGGUUUGGAGGCCCAUUAAACAGGGUGACCAGUAUAUUUUAAGUACCUCUGAACAGCCAUUUCUCCUUGACGAAAUUCUUGCUGGGUACCGUGAAGUUUCAAGGCAGUUUACCUUUUCUGCUAAGGAAGCACCUGGUUUGUUUACUGGGCUCCCCGGGCGUGUAUAUAUCUCCGGAAUGCCAGAGUGGACCUCGAAUGUUAUCUAUUACAGAAAGUUCGAGUAUUUGAGAGUGGACUAUGCAAUCAGUCAUGAAGUCCGUGGAUCUCUUGCGGUGCCUGUUUUUGAUCCUUAUGAAGGUUCUUGUCUUGCUGUGCUUGAGCUUGUUACAACAAGGGAGAGACCCAACUUCGACGCAGAGAUGGAAACUGUUUGCAAUGCUUUGCAGGCUGUAAACUUGAAGACCACAAAAGUGCAGGUUCAUCAUCAGAACCUCACGAAGAGUCAGAUUUCUGCAUUUUCGGAGAUACUUGAUGUUUUGAGAACUGUUUGUCAUGCACACAUGUUACCUCUGGCACUUACAUGGGUACCUGUUUGGUAUGAUGAUGGAGGUGUCAAUGACUUGAGCAAUGAUAACAUUGGGGGGAUGAAGCCAACUUCAAGAAGGCUUGCCCUUCGCAUUCAAGAAUCAGCUUGCUAUGUUAAUGAUAUGCGGAUGCAAGAUUUUCUUCAUGCAUGCGCUGAACAUCGCCUUGAGAAGGGACAAGGCAUUGCUGGAAAGGCACUUCAAUCCAAUCAUCCAUUCUUCUCCCCUGAUGUUAAAGUAUAUGAUAUACGUGAAUAUCCACUUGCACACCAUGCUCGUAAGUUCGACCUUCGUGCUGCAGUUGCAAUCAGGUUGAGGAGCACAUACACUGGAAAUGAUGAUUACAUACUAGAAUUCUUUCUACCAGUCAACUGUGGAGGCAACAUAGAGCAACAGCUAUUAUUAAAUAGCCUCUCAAAUACCAUGCAGAGAAUUUGUAGGAGCUUGAGAACUGUAUCAGAUGCUGCAGCAGCUGGGGCAGAGAUCACCAGAGUAGGUAAUCAUAAAGGAGCAGCUGUAGGUGCCUUGUCGACUAAUUUUUCAAUGACGUGCUCUCAACUAUCAGAUUACGACAAUGAAACGGCUACCGAGAUGCAUCUUGGAACUCAGGAGAUUGGAUCCAAUGAACAAAAUGGAGAUGCUCAUCUUGAGCAGUUAUCAUCUAGCUCAAUAAAACAAAUGGAGAAAAAACGCAGUACAGCUGAGAAAAAUAUUAAUUUUAGUGUUCUUCAACGAUACUUUUCUGGGAGUCUCAAGGAUGCUGCAAAAAGUAUUGGUGUUUGUCCGACAACAUUGAAAAGGAUAUGUAGACAGCAUGGAAUUUCAAGAUGGCCAUCUCGCAAGAUAAAUAAGGUCAAUCGUUCAUUGCAGAAAAUCCAAAAUGUUAUAAAUUCUGUCCAAGGAGUUGAAGGGGCUCUAAAGUAUGAUCCUUCUACUGGGUGCCUUGUUGCAGCAGUCUCCUCACCGGAAAAACCAUCAUUAAUAACCUUUGAGCCAAAAGGUCAAGAUCUUAUGACUGCCCCUUCUGCUCACCAUAUUGAGACAGAACAGCCUGUUGGUAAGAUGGAGCCAGAUUUCUAUUUCCUUGGCAGACACCAAAGAGGGACCACACACCGAUCCAAAUGUGAAACAGAUGAAGUUGGUUUGCUUUCAAAUGAUUGUAGCAGACAGUUGAACUUUAUUUGUGCAGAUGGAGGGCAGUUGUCAUAUGCUACAAUGCAAGGUGCACCAAAAUGGCCAUCAUAUUCUAAAGAUGUAUCUGACAGUUCAUAUAUUUCAAAAGAAGCAGGCUGCCAAGGUGGCCAAGAUGGCUUAAGUUUGGCAAGCCUUGAGUGUCAGGUUACAUCAAGAAGCUCAAGUUUAGAAGAAUUGGAUAAAAUGAUGAUGAAAGCAGAAGCUGCUGAUGGAAUCAUGGAACACAGCCAUCGUUCUUCUUCUGGUAUGACGGACUCUUCUAGUGGAAGUGCAUCAAGUCAUCCUAGUUUCAAGAGAAGUAAGAUGCUAAUCUCACAAAAUGGCCCAUCUGUUACAGUAAAGGCUACCUACAAAGAUGACACUGUUAGAUUCAAGUUCAUGCCAUCCAUGGGUAUCCACAACUUGUUUGAGGAAAUUGGAAAGAGAUUCAAAUUGCUGGUAGGAACAUUCCAGCUCAAGUAUAGGGAUGACGAAGAAGAGUGGGUAAUGUUGGAGAAUGACUCUGAUCUGCAGGAGUGUGUUGAUGUAUUAGAGAAUAUUGGAUUGCAGAAAAUGAAGCUUCAAGUACGAGAUAUCCCUUGUAAUGUUGGUAGCUCGGCCAGUAGUAACUGCCUUAAGCCUUGAAGCCUUGAGAGGAGUCUUGUUUCAAGGUGCUUCAACUGACUACUAUGGUUGAGGAAUUUGCAAAGAAUUUUCUCUCUGCAGGUUUUUUAUUAGACUUCUUUUUGGAGCUCAGGCAAUUUGAUCAGGAUUCAGGAACAGUAGGAACUCCCAAUGCUGGCAAAUUAUCAGAAGAGUCAAAUUCGAUAUCUGAGCCAGAAGUCUAGGGUGGAUGCAGUUCUUGAUGAUUCCCAGGUUUGGUGUGGCACCAUAAGGAUCUUAUGCUUCCAUUGAGUCUAUCCAGGUGAAGCCGGAUCAGUAGCACUGAUUUGAAAUCAGGUGGUCAAAAACUAAGAGGUUUAGUAAACAAUAGAUCGCGGGAGAUGCACAACAGAAGAUGAUCUUGGCAUUGUGGAAACUGUUGAAUCUCGUAUUUUGAUGAUGAAACCACUUAAUAUGUGUUUAUGUUUUAAUCUGCGUUUUGAGUGACGCAGGAUGCUUCGAUCAGGAUGAGACAAUUAAAGCAGGAAAAAUCAUGUUGUGCCGGAGGAACAUGUUAGAAGAUUGGACGUCGGGCCGAUGGAUCGGUCGACGUAUCGACAGAAGGCUUCGGGCCGUGGACUUGGGCAUCGGGCCAAGAAGAGCGGGUAUUGCGCUAAGGAUAUCGGAGUUGCGGAGUCAACUGGCCGAUUGGGCAAUAGGCCGCAGGAGAGGACGAUGCGCCGAAGAAUCGGACGAAGCGUCGAGGGACCAAUGACAUGCCGGACAACUUAGUUAAUUGCUUAGGAUUAAUUGUCUCGAUCGAAGUUUUGUUUUAAGUGUGCAGGAUUAACUAUGAUGAAAGAAAGACAUGUAGCAGGAGUUGCGUCGGAGUCAAGACUAUGAUCACGUUGGGAGUUCGAGAGCUCGACGGAAGUCCGGACGGUCGUCAGAGGUUCUGCGGGAACAAAUCCGAGAAGUCCAGGAGCUUGCCAAAAGAAGCUCGUCGGAACUCGCCAAGUGGAUCGUCGCAAGUCCAGGAGUUUGUCGGAAGUCCGUCGGAGCAUCGCCGGAGGUUUGUCGGAUGUUCGUCGGAAGUUCGCCGAAAGAAGCGAUUGACGCACCGGAAGCAAGCUGUAGUAGAUGUCUUAAGAAAUUCGUAGUUAGCACGAUGAUUAAGUUAGAAAUGGGAGGUGAUCCCAUUAACUUAAUCUUGGGGCAAUUGGGCCCUUGAAAGACCCAAAUUGGGCCAAGACCCAAAUUGGGCCGAAUGGAUCAGCCCAUUCGGACCCAGAUUACUUGGCCAGAGGUGGCACCGCCUGGGUCGGCGGUGGCACCGCCUGGGUCGGCGGUGGCACCGCCCAGGGCUCAGUCUCCGAGCUCUGGCAGGAGGUGCAACCGCCCCUGACAAGUGGUGGCACCGCCCAGAGGCUCAGUCUCUGAGCUCUGCCAGGCGGUGCAACCGCCAAACCCCGGAAUUCCGGGAGAUGACAGUUUUGAGCUCGGAAUUCAAACUGGUUUAGGGCCUAUAAAUACCCCACUCUUUCAGCAAUGAAAGAGCAACCAAAUCCACCGAAAUCCUGAUCUUACUCUAUGAUUUUUAGAGCUCAAAAGUGUUGUAUGAGUUAAAAGUUCUUCUCCCUCUUUUCUUCUAAGUUCUGAUCUUUCAAGAGAGGAGAGAAAAUUCUGUAAGGGUUGUCUCCUAAGCUCGUCAAAAGGAGUGAAACUGUAAAAGGGUGGUUGGCCUUCGCCUAUUGAAGGAAGGCCUCUAGUGGACGUCGGUGACCUCGUCGGUGGAGGAAGCCAGAAGUGGAUGUAGGUCAAGAUUGAUCGAACCACUCUAAAAUCGCGGUGCUCUUUGGUUUGCAUUUACUUUGAGCAUAUUAUCUUUACUGCAAACCUCCUCAAUAGCUUACUGCCUUCUGCGAAUUUACGAUCGUGUUUCAAAGUUCAGUAUUUUCCGAAUCGGUGUUUAGACGUAAAUCAGUUUUAUCGUACGAACAUCAUAUUUCAGUUUGCGCUUACAUUCUGAUUUCCAUCAUAACUGCAAACUGCCCUUAUAGAUUCGCUUUAACUGCAUCUUGCUUGAUCACAAGUUAAAGUGAUUUACGAAUCGGGUUUUCUACCGAAAUCGCUCUUAUCGUACGAACGCAGUUUUAAUCGUCGAAAGUUUUCCGCUGCACUAAUUCAGGGGUAAGACUACAUGCAUACGACCCUUCAUAACAAUCAAUCUUCUUCUUUUGUUAAGAACCGAGAAUGAGAUUAAUCUCUUGAACUGUUUCAUGAACUAAUGGAAAAGAAGAACAAGCGCCGAGACCAUGUCACAAUAUAAUUAAUUCGACACAUGUGACUAUUAUCUCAAUGCAACCAAUACAAGAGUGAAUACGUUGCAGCAUUAACAUAUUUUUGUAUCGUUCUUGGACAUAUUAUUCAUGCAUUUUAAUGU